rnacentral:rRNA from 1 species
GAUGAACGCUGGCGGUAUGCUUAACACAUGCAAGUCGAACGGACUCUUCGGAGUUAGUGGCGGACGGGUGAGUAACGCGUGAGAAUCUGGCUUUGGGUUCGGGACAACCACUGGAAACGGUGGCUAAUACCGGAUGUGCCGAGAGGUAAAAGAGAAAUUGCCUGAAGAUGAGCUCGCGUCUGAUUAGCUAGUUGGUGAGGUAAAGGCUCACCAAGGCAGCGAUCAGUAGCUGGUCUGAGAGGAUGACCAGCCACACUGGGACUGAGACACGGCCCAGACUCCUACGGGAGGCAGCAGUGGGGAAUUUUCCGCAAUGGGCGAAAGCCUGACGGAGCAAUACCGCGUGAGGGAAGAAGGCUCUUGGGUUGUAAACCUCUUUUCUUAGGGAAGAACAGAAUGACGGUACCUAAGGAAUCAGCAUCGGCUAACUCCGU